rnacentral:misc_RNA from 1 species
GAUGAAGAACGCAGCGAAAUGCGAUAAGUAAUGUGAAUUGCAGAAUUCAGUGAAUCGUCGAAUCUUUGAACGCACAUUGCGCCCGCCAGCAUUCUGGCGGGCAUGCCUGUUCGAGCGUCAUUUCAACCCUCAAGCUCUGCUUGGUGUUGGGGCCCUACGGUUGACGUAGGCCCUUAAAGGUAGUGGCGGACCCUCUCGGAGCCUCCUUUGCGUAGUAACUAACGUCUCGCAUUGGGAUUCGGAGGGACUCUUGCCGUAAAACCCCCAAAUUUUCUAAUGGUUGACCUCGGAUCAGGUAGGAAUACCCGCUGAACUUAAGCAUAUCAAUAAGCGGAGGA